UUCCACAUGGAAUUUGUAUUUUUUAUUAUUUGUUUAAUUAGCAUGGUCACUGGAAGACAGUUAACGUAGUUUUCAAAUAUUUAACUACCCCCUUGGUUGUUAACAGCUCACUGCCUUCCAGCGGCCGUUCUGGUUCUGUCCUAACCAACCACUAAUGAUUUUGCUUUCUUCCUGAGGUUGACGGAAACUUAAGUCAGUUACGAAGGAGAUUUCAAUCACGAAGGGUCUCGUAACUCAGAUACUCUGAGCUCUAUUGACUAUAUAAGGAUAUACAGCUAUAUCUUUGAAGUGACGACGACUAUUCCUUUCGACAUGUAAUCGCCGUUUAAACCCAGCCAGGAAGAAGCAUUCCUUCAUCGCAGUCUCUCACUCUACACUUACUUCGCCUUCGUCCCAGGAUGAUAUCGGGAUAUAAUGAAUUAUGUACUACGUGGACGUCAGUUUGGACUGUUGGUAUAUAUAUAUUUUUAGAUUUUCCAAGGUAUGCAACUUUCCAAGUGUUAUAAGUGCUGCACAUGCUCAUAAUUAAAUUUAGAUAUAUGCAUACGAUUAUUGUGUAGUGAUUAAUUAGGCAUUUGGUAAUAUUUAAGGUAUUUUGGAAGUGGCUGAAUUACUGCGGCUCCCCCAAGCUUCACGAUGAUCAACUUUGUGUAUUAGCUGCCGCAUCAGCACCUGGAUGAUAGGACAGUUUUCAAUUACAAUAAAUUACUUAAUUUUU